ACGCAGUGUGUAUUUAUCCCCCGAGUCUAUGAUUAGGUUUAGGUAACUACUCUUCUUGCCAAAUGACCGUAGUGUGAUAUAUUUCCGACGGGCCCUGAAGGCAGCUCCGGGCUCUGGGCUGGACAGGAAGCGACGGAGACGCGCAGCGUGCGUCCUCGGCGGCUCCGGCACAGAAGAACGGGAAAGAGAAGGAGGGCGAGCGUGUAGACGAGGCAGCGUGUGGAAACAUGAGGAUAACGGGACCGUUUUCUUUUCGCUAGAUUCAUCUUUUAAACAGAUAACUACGCGCACCGGGAGGUUUUUUUUUAUUACCCCCCCCCCCCAUCCCGAGGUCGGCGGUGUUUGCUCCUCCCGCUGGAGAACAACAGGAGAAGAGAGGAUCUCCUUUGUGAAUCCGGCUUGAAUGGUUCAUGGAGGACACAGAAAAAGGAAUCCAAAAGUCAUGCGGAGAAAACCCGAGUGUAACCGGCACAGUCGCCGCGGUAGAAGCCGAUUGACACAUUUUUGCGCAAUAGAAUCCCUUGACAGUCCCUCAGACAUGCAGGCUUAAUCUCACGAAAUGGAGCUCUCGAUGUGUGUGUUUCUGCACUUGUGUGGGUGCAUUUUGCUAAAUCCCACUGACGAAAUACCCCGGCAGCCCGAGCCGCUCUCGGAUGGCUCUCUGGGUUAAGUUAGUGGCCGAGUAGCUUGCUGAU
ensembl:lncRNA